rnacentral:pre_miRNA from 1 species
AGGAUAUCAUACUAUACUGUAAAUCAAUGCUGAACCAUUACAGUAUAUAUGAUGUGCUGC